rnacentral:rRNA from 1 species
UACUCCUACGGGAGGCAGCAGUAGGGAAUCUUCGGCAAUGGACGGAAGUCUGACCGAGCAACGCCGCGUGAGUGAAGAAGGUUUUCGGAUCGUAAAGCUCUGUUGUAAGAGAAGAACGAGUGUGAGAGUGGAAAGUUCACACUGUGACGGUAUCUUACCAGAAAGGGACGGCUAACUACGUGCCAGCAGCCGCGGUAAUACGUAGGUCCCGAGCGUUGUCCGGAUUUAUUGGGCGUAAAGCGAGCGCAGGCGGUUAGAUAAGUCUGAAGUUAAAGGCUGUGGCUUAACCAUAGUACGCUUUGGAAACUGUUUAACUUGAGUGCAAGAGGGGAGAGUGGAAUUCCAUGUGUAGCGGUGAAAUGCGUAGAUAUAUGGAGGAACACCGGUGGCGAAAGCGGCUCUCUGGCUUGUAACUGACGCUGAGGCUCGAAAGCGUGGGGAGCAAACAGGAUUAGAUACCCUGGUAGUCCACGCCGUAAACGAUGAGUGCUAGGUGUUAGACCCUUUCCGGGGUUUAGUGCCGUAGCUAACGCAUUAAGCACUCCGCCUGGGGAGUACGACCGCAAGGUUGAAACUCAAAGGAAUUGA